rnacentral:rRNA from 1 species
UUCCAGACUCCUACGGGAGGCAGCAGUGAGGAAUAUUGGUCAAUGGGCGAGAGCCUGAACCAGCCAAGUCGUGUGAGGGAAGACGGUCCUAUGGAUUGUAAACCUCUUUUGUCGGGGAGCAAAAAGGCCUCGUGAGGCCACAAGUGAGAGUACCCGAAGAAAAAGCAUCGGCUAACUCCGUGCCAGCAGCCGCGGUAAUACGGAGGAUGCGAGCGUUAUCCGGAUUUAUUGGGUUUAAAGGGUGCGCAGGCGGAGGUGCAAGUCAGUGGUCAAAUUGCGGGGCUCAACCCCGUUCUGCCGUUGAAACUGCAUCCCUUGAGUGCGCGAGAAGUAUGCGGAAUGCGUGGUGUAGCGGUGAAAUGCAUAGAUAUUGCGCAGAACUCCGAUUGCGAAGGCAGCAUACCGGCGGCGAUCUGACGCUGAGGCACGAAAGCGUGGGUAUCGAACAGGAUUAGAUACCCCGGUACA